rnacentral:rRNA from 1 species
UCGGGAAUUUUGGGCAAUGGGCGAAAGCCUGACCCAGCAACGCCGCGUGAAGGAUGAAGUAUUUCGGUAUGUAAACUUCGUAAGAAUAGGAAGAAUAAAUGACGGUACUAUUUGUAAGGUCCGGCUAACUACGUGCCAGCAGCCGCGGUAAUACGUAGGGACCAAGCGUUGUUCGGAUUUACUGGGCGUAAAGGGCGCGUAGGCGGCGUGGUAAGUCAUCUGUGAAAUCUCCGAGCUUAACUCGGAACGGUCAGAUGAUACUGCUGUGCUAGAGUACAGAAAGGGCAAUCGGAAUUCUUGGUGUAGCGGUGAAAUGCGUAGAUAUCAAGAGGAACACCUGAGGCGAAGGCGGGUUGCUGGGCUGAUACUGACGCUGAGGCGCGAAAGCUAGGGUAGCAAACAGGAUUAGAUACCCCAGUAGUCCCUGAGCGGGCUGGCAAGGCGCAU